AUCACUUCCUAAAACCCAUCAAAGAGAGUCCAUCUCCUGAAGAAAUGCAGCUCAGAUGCUCCCCGGCAGGAAGCAGGAAAUGUAGAUGUUCGGGUGCAGCAGGCAGGCUGCCGGAGCGCCCCUCAGGUGGGAGCGCUGCCGGGGCAGCAUGCGGAGCCCCGGGCUCGUCACCCUGCUCUCGGCCCUGGCGCUGGCUGCAGGAGCUGCCGGCACUGACCCUGGAAAUGAUGGAUCAGGAGAUGGAUCGAUGAUAUUACCCACUUUCACAGCAACACAUCUUCCUGCUACGGCUCCUUCGACCGUGGAUGACCAUGAGCCAGUACUUGUAACUGCAAGCACUACUGAAAGCAGCUUUGACACACAGAGUUCUCCAAGUACUGAACUGAAUGCUGUGAAUGAUGAGGAGAGCCUAGAAGCAGAAGAACAGUCUAUCUUGAUAUAUGUUGUCCCUGUGGCACUGCUGGUCCUGCUGGUUUUGUUGAUCACAUUUUUUGUAAUGCAUCAUAAAAGGAAAAAGUCCAAGCAAGAUGAGCUGGGAAGUGAAAAUGUAAAAAGUCCUAUUUUUGAAGAAGACACACCCUCUGUUAUGGAGAUAGAAAUGGAAGAGCUUGAUAAAUGGAUGAACAGCAUGAACAGAAAUGGUACACGGUGACUGUGAAUGCUUACCUACUGUAAGAGAAGAAGAAAAAGAAUCAAUCGCCAACCCAAGUGAUGGUGAAUCAUGAAGUCCUCAGGACAGCAAAGAACUAGCUAAAGGGAUGCAGCACACAAGUUCGUCAUCCCCCAGAUAUUGGAAGAACUGAAUUUAAAUAUAAUUCAUCUCAAAAGGCCAGAGAAGCAAAUGCUUUUGUUGUCUUCUGCUUCAUAUGGUUUUCAGAAAGGAAACAUCACCAAGGGAAGAGAAGAAAAGAAAAAGAAGUGGAAAAAAGAAAAGAAAAAAAGGAAAGCACUCUAGCAAGAUUAAUGACUCAUUUAAAUUCUUUUUGCAAUGAGAUUCACCCCAAAUCAAGAGAAACUCCCUUUUUACCCCUGCUGAAAGUUCUCAAAGUAGUCCAUAUUUCUGUGUGGUUCUGCAGUUGUGUAUUGUGCAGCACUUAGAACCAAUUCUGUUCCAGGUUUGGUGGGUUUCUUUGUUUUGGUUCGGUGUUGUGGGUGUUUGUUUCAGUGUCCGUAAUGCUGCUCUGCCCUGGUUUGGUGGAUGUGAAGCUCAUGCCUAUGCAAUGUUUAUUUCUCAAUUUGCUUUUUCUGGACAGUGCACUGAUUUGCACAGGACUGCUGUUGGGGGGGUACCAGGCUAGGACUGACAGACCAGCUCUGAGGACAGACAGCAGCUGAAAAGCCUCUCAAAGGAAUAGCCUGAAGUGACUGCAGCCCAGCCAGGGCACAGACUCUGUAGAGUGCUUUUUGGUUUUCAAAUUAAAGGCCCUGUAGAAGUUACAAGUAUUAUUUUGAGACUGCCUUUCAGUUUGUUAUCUCCACAGAAGGGCGCCCUGGGCUAGCUCUCCCCGUGUAACUCUUCUCCCUGCCCAGGGCUGUCCUCUAACCACCUACUUCAGGAAUAUUCAACUUAAAAACUUUUCUUUUUUUUUUUUUUUUAAAUGAGUGAGGUUGAAAAAUGGAACAAUUAAGUAUUCACAUUAAAUACAGAUUUAGAUAAGCAUGUGUUUUGCAUAACUACUUGGCCAAGGUUUUCAGAUACAGGAGGUUUUCUGCUGCUUCUGUUUUUAAAUACUGAGCCUGCAAUAUCUUAAAGACAAGGACUUCUAAGUGUGCCUGGUCACUUUUAGUUACAAUGAAAAAAAAAUCAGACUCCUGGCUUACCUCAGGGUGGGAAUAUGAAUGUUGUAAUUGUGUCUAUUGAUUUUAGAUAGCAUGUCUCUUAGGGAUGUGGCUUAAAUAUGUAACACACAUAAAAAAUUGAUCCUCGUCUGGGCAAAGUUUCUCUUGCCUUAUUUAAAAUUGCAGUUUCAUAUCCUACCAUAUCUUAUAUCCUACCUAUCCUCAUAUUCUAUUGAAAUAUAUAAUGCCUUCCUACUCAAUACAUGUUUAAUAUGAUCAGGGUUCUUUUGCCUGCAAAUAAUUCACUAAUAAGUUACCAUGCACAGCUUGAUUAAAAAGAGAAAACAAAUGCCCCUGUGAUGGUAUCUAAGUAUCACUAACAGUUGACAAAUACAGAGGAUGGUUCAGCUUUGCGAAUAAUUAAAGACAUGUCAAAAUACAGAAGGAAAAAAAUGCAUAGAGGUAAGGAUACUCAUUCAUUAUUGAAUUUGAAUUGAUUAGUAAUUUCCUCAAAGAAUAAAACUUUUUCCCUGUUUGGAUGAUUUUUAACUUUGAAAGAAGUGUUUUAAGUUCAUCUUUCACAACUUUUUUUAAACAUUUCCACUAUUUCCUGACAGUAAACCCAUCAUGUAGAAUAUUGGUUUAAAAGAAUGCUGUCACAAGGGGAAGAAAAAGUGAAAGAUUGAAAUUUAGGAUUUUUUUUAAAAUUGAACUAGAUAUUUUCCAGUAGCAGUUUUGUUAGCUACUUCUUUCCAACAGACAAAAAUGUUUUGCUUAGGUGUCUUACAAUUUGCAAAGCAGUAACCUGAAGAUGCCCAAAACAGAGAGACUGGGCUUUUUUUAAUGGUACAAGAUAAAAGGCUAUAUUUUAAGACCAGCUGUGUGGUUGGAGGGCAGCCAGUGGGACCCAGCAGUUCACAACAGCAGUGACUCCCACCACACCAUGCUCUAGUCCACACAGCUCUGUGUCCAACAGCUGCUGCCUUCUCCCUGAAGUACAGCUGGACACGAAGAAUAGGAGUCCUUGCCUUUUUUUUUUUUUUUUUUUUUCUUCUUCUUUUGAAAAUGAACCAACUCCCAAAGGUGACGUUGUAUCAUUGUAUGGCUUAACUCAGUUCUGGUACACUGAUGACCCAUUUGAUAUUAGUGCAAUGCACCAACUCGGUUUGCUGUGGUACUUGCAAAGGGCCUGUGUUGUGGAUGUUGAUGGUUUGGGGUUAAUGUUAAUUCUACAUGGUCCUUCUCCCAGACAAAAGGCUGUAGAGUUACAAAUAAGUUUCUCAGAGAUUAAGUUUCACUUAUAUAUUUUAUUUUUCAAGUUUACCUUGAAAGAAUGUAUUUUCUGUAAACUUAUGCCACUAAGCAUUUAUUCUUAUUCCAGAGUUCAUUACUGAUCAAUCUCUAUAUAAAGCUUUAAAAUCAA